GUGCUCAUUUUAACAGCACAUAUACUAAAAUUGGAAUGACACAGAGAAGAUUAACCUAGUCCCAGCACAAGGAUGUCAUGCAAAUUCGUGAAGUAUUCCACACACAC
ensembl:snRNA U6 U6 spliceosomal RNA